UUUAUUCACAACUAUGUCAUUUUACCUGAUGUGUCAUCACCGCAUAUUUUUUUUUUUGUCAUCUGGAGAUUAUAAUAAAACAGGUGAAAAACAUUCAGAUACAACUAAACCGACAAGGAACACUUUCCUUUCGGAGCCAGAAGCCGGCAAAGAUCGAAAUCUUUCCAGAGCCAUAAAAUAAACUACUAGACAACUAUAUAGAACAGAUAAUAAGGAAAUCUAAGACAAGCCAAAAGCCGAGACAUAAGAAUGGAAAUACUCUUGUGAUCGCAGUCCAAAGAGCAGAGCACAUCGAUCUCCAAACCAAGAUAGAAACAAGUCAGAGAAACUUCAGAGAAACAUGUAGAGGGCCUGAAAAAGACUUCUAUCCAAAGAGCCAAAACGCAAAGGUGGAAGAUCCUCAAAGUUCCCAAAGCAUCAAGCCAGAACUUACAUCAGUCCAUCCAUAUUGUAGCACAAAUAAGUCCAAAUGGAUCUUCAAAGGAAACCAGAUGAAAACUCUGAAUACUUACCAAAACUGAAGCUAUUCCACAAAACUUACACUCGAACAAGGCUUACGAGAAUUCCAAUGAAUCAUCCAAGAACUGAUGGUGAAAUGUUGCGACUGGAAGGAAGGAAGAGCCAAUAGACUUCUGAUGCCUUAUUUGAGAGAUUGCCAAACCAAACCCACACAAUGAAGAACCCACAUCUGAACCGGCAAAGUACUUCCACCACAUACCAGAAACCAUAUAAGGUUUAACAAAGGCAGCUCGAACCAAGCAAGGAAACAUCAGAAGGACCAUAGCAACUACAUUGAACCACCUCAAACGAGCAUAAACCAUAGAGAAACCCAAUGCACAAUCAGAUUAAUAUCUCGAUUCACAAAACAGAACAAACCAGCAAACAUCACACUCAUCUUGACUAAACGAAAUUAAACUGCUACAGACCAAGCUACAACCUGUGGAAAGCAAAACACGACCCACCCUCCAACGACAAGGCGACAACACUCAAAUCCAUUCAGAUCUACGAUCUACUUCCCAUCAACCACAGGCGGAGAGAGCACGCCCUUGACAUAGAAGCAGACCUCGCCGAAAUUGAAACAGCACCCUUCCACUGAUCGGCCACCCAAACCACCAUCACUGUCGGAGAAGCGUUCCAUCACUAACCACCACCGUUCCAUCACUAACCACCACCGUCAAAGUUGAAAAGACUACAGGUGAAUGAUUACUAGAAAAGAGAGAGCAGGGAGGUCAUCUCACAGCACGGCGAGGAGCGCCGGCCGGAGACGACCUCAGAUGGAAGAGAUGAAGCUGAGUCGUGAGAGAGUUUUAAAGGUUUUUUUUAGUUAACAGAUGCUCCACUGUCUUUUUCCCUAUGAUUUCUGACUGCGUACCUUCUCAACCUACAUUUAAUAUCACCCUUUCUUUACUAGAUAUAUUACAAAAGUUUUCAUUGGUAUCACUAAUAUAUAAUACAACGUUAUACAAUAUAUAUAGUUCGAAACGUGGAAAACAUUUACUAACAAUUAGAAAUAACUAUUAAACUGUAGACCCCCUCAUUAUAUUCCCUCACAUUUCUAAUACUAGCAUUAUAAAUAUUUUCUUACAAAUAGAAACAUUUACUCAUAUCACUUGUUCACCUUUAUGAAAUAUAAAGCCAUUAUUUUAUUCAGAUCUUUUUAUUUUCUGUAAAACCAUGACUAAGAAACAUACUUGAUAUUUCUAUAAAAUGGCUAAAUGUUGGUUCUGCAAACCUAAAAAUCCAUUGCAUGUACUAGCAAUAUAAGAUUCAAGAAAAAAAAACAGAAAAUGAGUUUUAUAGCUGAAAUAUAUAUAUAUAUAUAUAUAACCAAGCAAGGAAACAUCAGAAGGACCAUAGCAACUACAUUGAACCACCUCAAACGAGCAUAAACCAUAGAGAAACCCAAUGCACAAUCAGAUUAAUAUCUCGAUUCACAAAACAGAACAAACCAGCAAACAUCACACUCAUCUUGACUAAACGAAAUUAAACUGCUACAGACCAAGCUACAACCUGUGGAAAGCAAAACACGACCCACCCUCCAACGACAAGGCGACAACACUCAAAUCCAUUCAGAUCUACGAUCUACUUCCCAUCAACCACAGGCGGAGAGAGCACGCCCUUGACAUAGAAGCAGACCUCGCCGAAAUUGAAACAGCACCCUUCCACUGAUCGGCCACCCAAACCACCAUCACUGUCGGAGAAGCGUUCCAUCACUAACCACCACCGUUCCAUCACUAACCACCACCGUCAAAGUUGAAAAGACUACAGGUGAAUGAUUACUAGAAAAGAGAGAGCAGGGAGGUCAUCUCACAGCACGGCGAGGAGCGCCGGCCGGAGACGACCUCAGAUGGAAGAGAUGAAGCUGAGUCGUGAGAGAGUUUUAAAGGUUUUUUUUAGUUAACAGAUGCUCCACUGUCUUUUUCCCUAUGAUUUCUGACUGCGUACCUUCUCAACCUACAUUUAAUAUCACCCUUUCUUUACUAGAUAUAUUACAAA
rnacentral:lncRNA from 1 species